GGUUCCACAGUGUAGCGGUUAGGACGUCUGCUUUACACUCAGAAGUUCCUGGGUUCAUGCCCCAGUGGCACCA
rfam:Pteropus alecto contig108395, whole genome shotgun sequence.